rnacentral:rRNA from 1 species
AGAGUUUGAUCCUGGCUCAGAGCGAACGCUGGCGGCAGGCCUAAAACAUGCAAGUCGAACGGAUCCUUCGGGAUUAGUGGCGGACGGGUGAGUAACACGUGGGAACGUGCCUUUUGGUUCGGAACAACUCAGGGAAACUUGAGCUAAUACCGAAUGUGCCCUUCGGGGGGAAAGAUUUAUCGCCAUUAGAGCGGCCCGCGUCUGAUUAGCUUGUUGGUGAGGUAAAGGCUCACCAAGGCGACGAUCAGUAGCUGGUCUGAGAGGAUGAUCAGCCACACUGGGACUGAGACACGGCCCAGACUCCUACGGGAGGCAGCAGUUAGGAAUCUUGCGCAAUGGGGGAAACCCUGACGCAGCCAUGCCGCGUGAAUGAUGAAGGUCUUAGGAUUGUAAAAUUCUUUCAGCGGGGACGAUAAUGACGGUACCCGCAGAAGAAGCCCCGGCUAACUUCGUG